GACGAACGCUGGCGGCGUGCUUAACACAUGCAAGUCGAACGGAAAGGCCCUGCUUUUGUGGGGUGCUCGAGUGGCGAACGGGUGAGUAACACGAGAGUAACCUGCCCUUGACUUUGGGAUAACUUCAGGAAACUGGGGCUAAUACCGGAUAGGAGCUCCUGCUGCAUGGUGGGGGUUGGAAAGUUUCGGCGGUUGGGGAUGGACUCGCGGCUUAUCAGCUUGUUGGUGGGGUAGUGGCUUACCAAGGCUUUGACGGGUAGCCGGCCUGAGAGGGUGACCGGCCACAUUGGUACUGAGAUACGGCCCAGACUCCUACGGGAGGCAGCAGUGGGGAAUAUUGCACAAUGGGCGGAAGCCUGAUGCAGCAACGCCGCGUGCGGGAUGACGGCCUUCGGGUUGUAAACCGCUUUCGCCUGUGACGAAGCGUGAGUGACGGUAAUGGGUAAAGAAGCACCGGCUAACUACGUG
rnacentral:rRNA from 1 species